UAAGCCACAUCCUCUCAAGGCUGUUUAGGGCCUUCAAGGCGUGACAGCAGGGGUGGGACACUAGAGGACCCCACUGCUCUGCCUCCGGGUUCUGAAUCUGGCUCAGGGUGAGACCUCCAACUCUUUGGGACGCGACUCAGGUCGCUCCACUGACCUGAGUCAGCCAGGCCCAGGCGCAAGCUCUCACGUCCCAAAGUUGCUAGAGGGAAAAGUCACGGCAUGCCCCGUCUGGCUAUGCCUGCACGGGGUCUCCCAGAGCUGACAACAGGGCAGCAGAAACCUGGCUCUCUGGCUCUCCCUGGCUCUCUUGCUUUUUCCUUUUUUUUUUAAUUUGUGACAGACACGGGGUCUCGCUCUGUCGCCACGCUCAUAGCGUGACCAUGGCUCACUGCGGCUUCGACCUGCUAGGCUCAAGCGAUCCUCCCACCUCAGCCUCCCGAGUCGCUGGGACCACAGGCGCCGGCCACCGUGUCCCGCUAGUUUUUGUUCUUUUCUUUCUUGGAGAGAGAGGGUCUCGCUUUGUUGCUGAGGCUGGUCUGGAACUGCUGAGCUCAGGUAAUCCUCCCGCCUCAGCCGCCCAAAGCACUGGGAUCACGGGUGUGAGCUACCAUGCCCGCCUCGUGGGCCUCCCAUGUUUGGGAGAGGUCUCCUCAUCAGCCUCAGGGACCUCAUUUCGAUUAGGGCCUAGGAGUCCCUCCCUCUGCAGAAUCGAAGCCUCACCCUCACACCAAACCCUCCCCUCCCUGGUGCCCUCUCAGAAGUCAGCGCCACAGCCUGACUGGAGCCUCCCGCGGCUGACGGAGGUGGGUACCCGGGGGCGGGGGUUGGGGGACAAAGAUGGUCGCCUUGGCUGCGUGUGGGUGGGCCUUUCAGUCCACGAUCAGGGUCCUUACCUUGAUACCCAACCAGUCCUGGGGUUCUGGUAGCCUGAGGUGACGUCCCUCAGACGAAGAUCCUCACCUUCCGGCAGCUUCCCGGGCGGGCGGAUGUCGGAGUGAGCCACAUCCAACCAAGUCCCUGCUGGGUCUCCCAGGGCUGAAAGGGGGCGGGGCUCUGCUCGGGGCCCCUUUUUGCAUAGAAGUCCUCUCCAGUGUACUCAGUGUCCUCUCCGGGACUCCAGUGAGUGUCCAGUUCUCCUCCCUCAGCUGAACUGCUUUUGCCUUUAGACAGAGUCACUACCCUCGUUAGAGCAUCUAAGCAGAAAAAAAGGGGGCCUCAGCUGAGGCCUUUGCUAUGGCUGACAAGAUUAAGCAUUUUUUUAUUUUUGUUUUUAUUUUUUGCUGAUAACCAUUCCCUUAUGUCACUCUCGGUGCUCACCUUGAUUCGAGUCAGUUUCUGGGGCUCCACUGUGCACAGCUGGGGCUUCCCCCACCAGACCAAGAUUCUCCCUUCGCUGAGACCCUCCAGGCCGAAAUGACAGUCACCUCAACCUGACAGCUCUUCCUGGGCUUCCCAAGUCACAGGAGAGGCUUUUGGUUUUGGACCAUGAGAAUGGCUUACAUAUUCAAAAGGUGGGAUUUGGGAAGCAGUGCUAAGCAGUGGAAUGGACAUCGACAUAGAGAGAUCAGCUCCACACUUAUACUCUGCCACUCAACUUCCCCAUGUGACUUGAGGAUCACUCUAACUGCAAAACAUAGCAAGCUCGCGGAACAUCAUUCAUGCAAAAUAUUCCAAGGAGCCCCUUGAAGCAACAGAAUGGAUUUCUCUUCUAUGGUGGAAUGGCACCCUGGAUGAUCAAAACUGUAGCAGCAAACAAAACCUCCAUCAGGUAAGAAUUCAGAGUGUGAGAUAUCACGCACAGCCACACGUGGAUCUUUAUAUACGUGUCAAUGUGUUUGGUUGUAUUUGUGCUUUGAAAGUAUGCAUUGAGCAUUUCUUCUAGGUCCUCAGUAACAACUUUUUUAAAAAAAUAAAUGCUUAGGGAAUUGUUUUAUAUUAAACUUGCUUCCAUUGUUAUCAACUUGGAGAGUGUCCCUCAUACAUGGAGCUCUUUCACAGGAUUGACUUUUCAUAUUAGGAGUGUAAAGAAAAGUUGUUCCUUGGUUUGUGUAUUACAGAUA